rnacentral:rRNA from 1 species
ACGGCUCAGUAACACGUGGACAACCUGCCCUUAGGUUGGGUAUAAACCCGGGAAACUGGGUAUAAUCCCCGAUAGUCCUCGAAUGCUGGAAUGCAUCGAGGACGAAAGCUCCGGCGCCUAAGGAUGGGUCUGCGGCCUAUCAGGUAGUAGUGGGUGUAAUGUACCUACUAGCCUACGACGGGUACGGGUUGUGAGAGCAAGAGCCCGGAGAUGGAUUCUGAGACACGAAUCCAGGCCCUACGGGGUGCAGCAGGCGCGAAAACUUUACAAUGCUGGCAACAGCGAUAAGGGAACCUCGAGUGCCAGGUUACAAAUCUGGCUGUCGAGAUGCCUAAAAAGCAUUGCAUAGCAAGGGCCGGGCAAGACCGGUGCCAGCCGCCGCGGUAACACCGGCGGCUCGAGUGGUAACCGUUAUUAUUGGGUCUAAAGGGUCUGUAGCCGGCCGGAUAAGUCUCUUGAGAAAUCUGGCAGCUUAACUGUCAGGCUUUCAGGAGAUACUGUCUGGCUCGAGGCCGGGAGAGGUGAGAGGUACUUCAGGGGUAGGGGUGAAAUCUUGUAAUCCUUGAAGGACCACCAGUGGCGAAGGCGUCUCACCAGAACGGACCUGACGGCAAGGGACGAAAGCUAGGGGCACGAACCGGAUUAGAUACCCGGGUAGUCCUAGCCGUAAACGAUACUCGCUAGGUGUCGGCCACGGUGCGACCGUUGUCGGUGCCGUAGGGAAGCCGUGAAGCGAGCCACCUGGGAAGUACGGCCGCAAGGCUGAAACUUAAAGGAAUUGGCGGGGGAGCACCACAACGGGUGGAGCUUGCGGUUUAAUUGGAUUCAACGCCGGG